AGAGUUUGAUCCUGGCUCAGAAUCAACGCUGGCGGCGCGCCUUACACAUGCAAGUCGAACGGCAGCACGGGGGCAACCCUGGUGGCGAGUGGCGAACGGGUGAGUAAUACAUCGGAACGUGUCCUGUAGUGGGGGAUAGCCCGGCGAAAGCCGGAUUAAUACCGCAUACGAUCUACGGAAGAAAGCGGGGGAUCGCAAGACCUCGCGCUAUAGGGGCGGCCGAUGGCAGAUUAGCUAGUUGGUGGGGUAAAGGCCUACCAAGGCGACGAUCUGUAGCUGGUCUGAGAGGACGACCAGCCACACUGGGACUGAGACACGGCCCAGACUCCUACGGGAGGCAGCAGUGGGGAAUUUUGGACAAUGGGGGAAACCCUGAUCCAGCAAUGCCGCGUGUGUGAAGAAGGCCUUCGGGUUGUAAAGCACUUUUGUCCGGAAAGAAA
rnacentral:rRNA from 1 species